rnacentral:rRNA from 1 species
AACGAACGCUGGCGGCAGGCUUAACACAUGCAAGUCGAACGCGUGUAGCAAUACACGAGUGGCGCACGGGUGAGUAACGCGUGGAUAUCUGCCUUUUGGUUCGGAAUAACUCCGGGAAACUGGAGCUAAUACCGGAUGGUUCCUUCGGGAUAAAGAUUUAUCGCCAAAAGAUGAGUCCGCAUACGAUUAGCUAGUUGGUGAGGUAAUGGCUCACCAAGGCGACGAUCGUUAGCUGGUCUGAGAGGACGAUCAGCCACACUGGGACUGAGACACGGCCCAGACUCCUACGGGAGGCAGCAGUGGGGAAUAUUGGACAAUGGGGGCAACCCUGAUCCAGCCAUGCCGCGUGAGUGAUGAAGGCCCUCGGGUUGUAAAGCUCUUUUGGCGGGGACGGUGAUGACGGUACCCGCAGAAUAAGCCCCGGCUAACUUCGUGCCAGCCGCCGCCGUAA